rnacentral:lncRNA from 1 species
GGCGAUGGGGGAGCUGCAGUGUCAGGAGGCCCCACAGGAAGGAGAAUCAGAUCAUUCCCUCAAAAUUCACAGGCUGCCCCUCCCCGUUGAGCAUCUGUCUCCCGCAUCUCAAAAAAGCAUCGGAGACGGUCCUGUAGAUUGGGAGGCCGUGCUGUGCGCUCAAAAUGUACAGGGUCGCCUGCGUGGGCUGGGCUGUCAUCAUCACUGCGACAGAAGCCAGACGGCCCUGCAAACCAUCCGGAGGCUAAAUUCAGAACCAACCCUCGGCUCAGCCGUGCAGAAGAACCCGGAAACCUGUGUGCUUUCUGCUCUCCUCCACUCCUGCCCUGAGAACGCUUCCAGAGCCGGGGAUAGCCUUCCUAGAUGGCAGGAGCAGGGUCGCCAGAGCCGGACGCAGGAGAGGGAGAGAGGAGACCAGAGGGGACCCACUGCACGUGGAGAGGAAACGUCUGAGUCUAGAAACCAGGAUGCGAAAGGAGCGGGGAUGAUUAAAAUCGGCUGAUUUGCUCUGGAGAAAAACCCCAUGUGGACCGCGUGCUGGGCCCAGGACGGUUCCUCCGCCACCUCCUUCAGACCUCACAGCCUCCUGCCCACGGAUGCUUCAUUCCCCUUUCACGGAUCAGGGGACGCAGGCUGGGGCAGGAGAAGGAGGCCCCGUGGAGCAGCUCUGAGCAAGCGGUUUGGUUUCCCGGCUUCCCCACCUGCUUCUGAAGAAUUCUGAGUCUGGACGCCUGGUGCCCCAGCCGUGGGGCUGCCCAAGGUCAUUCCCGGCCCCACCCCCAAGCCCCACGAGGACGUGCAGCAAAUUUCGACGACACCCAGCAACUCUGAGUCGGCCCAGCUUACACCAGCAAGGACCGCGCGCUCUGCAAGCCGCAGUGGCGACUCCUUCCAUCUCUCUGGCUCCAGCCAUGCAGAGGUACUGCCGGGGGCCAGAGGACCAGCACCGGCGCUCAGGGUGGACCAGCCAACGUUCAUGCAGACCUGAGCUGACAGGUGGGCAUUGGGGGAUGCGUCAGUGGAGAAUCCUGCUCGGAGGAGAAGAAGACUCAAGCUCUCAAGAACCUCUCUCCGGUUUGCAGCCAAGGCCCCCGGCAGGAGGGAGCCCUCCUGGGGCCGGUUCUCGCCAAGGAGCCCUGACGCCCGUCCUCAACCGAGAACCUUCAAAGGGCGGCCCGUGAGGGGUCACAGAGGCUCACGCCGCUCUCUGCUCUCACCCCAAACAGUGAAGGAGCCUGGAGGGGCGUUGUUACCAGCCACCUCCUUGGCGGGUGAGCUGCUUCGAGGCACAAGGCUACAAUGUACCAACCCAGGAAGAAGCAGGGGUGGCGGAAAACAUCUGUCGCUGGUUCCUUUGCAGGGACAGGCGAUGGGACUGCAAAGCAAGCUGGCGUCUGGGAGGCGAACCCACGGCUGAGAGGGGCGGGCUAGGAGAGGCGCUUCCGCUGGCGAAGGGAAGGAAAACACGGGGCUCCCCGGCCUGGCCUCACCAGCACCAGAGGACCGCGACACAGUUCCUCAUCCAGCCACGAUGGCACCCAGCUCAAAGGUCAUUUCAGCAGCUUCCCAGAGCAUCCCGGAACCCCCCCCCCCCCCCC